UCUCAGGUGGUCCAGUGGUAAGACUUUGUGAUCCAAAUACAGGGGGCCUGGGUUCAAUCCCUGGUCAGGGAA
rnacentral:tRNA from 1 species